rnacentral:rRNA from 1 species
AUUGAACGCUGGCGGCAGGCCUGACACAUGCAAGUCGAACGGUAACAGGAAGCAGCUUGCUGCUUUGCUGACGAGUGGCGGACGGGUGAGUAAUGUCUGGGAAACUGCCUGAUGGAGGGGGAUAACUACUGGAAACGGUAGCUAAUACCGCAUAACGUCGCAAGACCAAAGAGGGGGACCUUCGGGCCUCUUGCCAUCGGAUGUGCCCAGAUGGGAUUAGCUAGUAGGUGGGGUAACGGCUCACCUAGGCGACGAUCCCUAGCUGGUCUGAGAGGAUGACGAGCAAAAUGGGACCGAGAACACGGUCCAGACUCCAAGGGGAGCCAGAAGAGGGGAACAUUGGACAUUGAGGGAAGGCCUGAUGAAGAAAGGCGGCGGGUAUGAAGAAGGCCUUCGGGUGGAAAAGUACGUUCAGAGGGGAGGAAGGGAGUAAAGGUAAAAACUUUACUAAUUGACGUUACCCGCAGAAGAAGCACCGGCUAACUCCGUG